rnacentral:rRNA from 1 species
UACGGAGGGUGCAAGCGUUGUCCGGAUUUAUUGGGUUAAAGGGUGCGUAGGUGGCCUUAUAAGUCAGCGGUGAAAGUCUGCAGCUUAACUGUAGAACUGCCAUUGAUACUGUAAGGCUUGAGUACUGAUGAGGUAGGCGGAAUUGAUAGUGUAGCGGUGAAAUGCAUAGAUAUUAUCAAGAACACCGAUUGCGAAGGCAGCUUACUAAGGAGUUACUGACACUGAGGCACGAAAGCGUGGGGAUCAAACAGG